rnacentral:tRNA from 1 species
GCUGUGGCUCAGUGGAAAAUCAUCUUUUUUGCAUGCAGAAGGUCCCAGGUUCAAUCCCCAGCAUCUCCA